rnacentral:rRNA from 1 species
AUACGGAGGGUGCAAGCGUUAUCCGGAAUCAUUGGGUUUAAAGGGUCCGCAGGCGGACUGAUAAGUCAGUGGUGAAAUCCAGUAGCUUAACUACUGAACUGCCAUUGAAACUGUCAGUCUUGAAUUCGGUCGAAGUGGGCGGAAUGUGUCAUGUAGCGGUGAAAUGCAUAGAUAUGACACAGAACACCGAUAGCGAAGGCAGCUCACUAGGCCUGAAUUGACGCUCAGGGACGAAAGCGAGGGGAGCGAACAGGAUUAGAAACCCUAGUAGUCC